GGGGGGGCUCAGCCCUGUGCUGCCCUCCCACACUGUCUCUUCUCCAGGGUGAGCAAGGGCUGCUGGGAGCCCCAGGACAAGCAGGACCACCCGGCCCCCUGGUAAGUCGGCGUGGGUGAGCCCUGUGGACCCUGGCGUCCCGACUGGGUGCAGCCCGGGGAGCUUGACACCCUCUUUGCCUCUUGCAGGGCCCCGUGGGUUUGCCUGGCCUCAAGGGAGACCCUGGCCACAAGGGAGAUAAGGGCCACGCUGGACUGAUCGGGCUCAUCGGACCUCCAGGAGAGAUGGGGGAGAAAGGAGACCAGGGGCUGCCGGGCAUCCAGGGCCCCCCAGGACCCAAAGGAGACCCUGGUUUGGCUGGACCCACAGGUCCCACUGGCCCCCCAGGGCCCCCUGGGCUCUCGGUGAGUAUCUGCCCGCACCGUCCAGAUACACCAAGCUUCAGCUGCACGUUGUCCUGCACAUCCCAGGGCCUCCGGUCUACCCUUAGCGCCCCUGCAGUCCCGGGGGGCCUCUCUCCCCAGGACGGGUGAGGGGGCAGAGGGGAAACCGAGGCACAAGGGAGGGUGGAGGGUGGCUUCCCCAUGGCGCACAACCACUGCACGGCUGGGGAGCUGGUUGCAGCAGCCAGCACCUCUCUCCUGUCUCCUCUUCCCCCCAGGGACCCUUGGGCCAGACGGG
rnacentral:lncRNA from 1 species